rnacentral:rRNA from 1 species
UGGGGAAUUUUCCGCAAUGGGCGAAAGCCUGACGGAGCAACGCCGCGUGGAUGAUGAAGUCUUUCGGGACGUAAAAUCCUUUCAGCAGGGACGAAGCGAGUGACGGUACCUGCAGAAGAAGCAUCGGCUAACUACGUGCCAGCAGCCGCGGUAAUACGUAGGAUGCAAGCGUUGUCCGGAAUUAUUGGGCGUAAAGAGAACGUAGGCGGCCAUCUAAGUCUGGUCUUAAAGACUGGGGACUUAACCCCAGGAGUGGACUGGAAACUGGGUGGCUUGAGGACGUCAGAGGGAAGUGGAAUUCCAAGUGUAGCGGUGAAAUGCGUAGAUAUCAGGAAGAACACCCGUGGCGAAGGCGGCUCUCUGGGACGGUACUGACGCUGAGACGCGAAAGCGUGGGGAGCGAACAGGAUUAGAUACCC